GACGAACGCUGGCGGCGUGCUUAACACAUGCAAGUCGAACGGAAGGGCCCUGCUUUUGUGGGGUGCUCGAUUGGCGAACGGGUGAGUAACACGUGAGUAACCUGCCCUUGACUUUGGGAUAACUUCAGGAAACUGGGGCUAAUACCGGAUAGAAGCUCCUGCUGCAUGGUGGGGGUUGGAAAGUUUCGGCGUUUGGGGAUGGACUCGCGGCUUAUCAGCUUGUUGGUGGGGUAGUGACUUACCAAGGCUUUGACGGGUAGCCGGCCUGGGAGGGUGACCGGCCACAUUGGGACUGAGAUACGGCCCAGACUCCUACGGGCGGCAGCAGUGGGGAAUAUUGCAGAAUGGGCGGAAGCCAGAUGCAGCAACGCCGCGUGCGGGAUGACGGCCUUCGGGUUGUAAACCGAUUUCGCCGGUGACGAAGCGUGAGUGACGGUAAUGGGUAAAGAAGCACCGGCUAACUACGUG
rnacentral:rRNA from 1 species